UGCAAGUCGAACGCAGUAGCAAUACUGAGUGGCAGACGGGUGAGUAACAUGUGGGAAUCUGCCUUGUGGUUCAGGACAACAUUGGGAAACCGAUGCUAAUACUGGAUAAGCCCUUACGGGGAAAGUUUUAAUGCCAUAAGAUGAGCCCGCAUUUGAUUAGUUAGUUGGUGAGGUAAUGGCUCACCAAGACAAUGAUCAAUAGCUGAUCUGAGAGGAUGAUCAGCCACACUGGGACUGAGACACGGCCCAGACUCCUACGGGAGGCAGCAGUGGGGAAUCUUGCACAAUGGAGGAAACUCUGAUGCAGCGAUGCCGCGUGAGUGAAGAAGGCCUUUGGGUUGUAAAGCUCUUUUGUAGGGGAAGAUAAUGACUGUACCCUAAGAAUAAGGUCCGGCUAGCUUCGUGCCAGCAGGCGCGGUAAUACGAAGGGACCUAGCGUAGUUCGGAAUUACUGGGCGUAAAGCGCGCGUAGGCCGUUGAGUUAGUUAAUUGUGAAAUCCCAAAGCUUAACUUUGGAACUGCAAUUAAAACUGCUCGACUAGAGUUUGAUAGAGGAAAGCGGAAUACAUAGUGUAGAGGUGAAAUUCGUAGAUAUUAUGUAGAACACCAGUUGCGAAGGCGGCUUUCUGGAUCAACACUGACGCUGAGGCGCGAAAGUAUGGGUAGCAAAGAGGAUUAGAUACCCGCGUAGUCCAUACCA
rnacentral:rRNA from 1 species